rnacentral:snRNA from 1 species
UUCGCUUCUUGGCUCUUUGAGCUAAGAUCAUGUGUAGUAUCUGUUCUUUGCAGUGUAAUUUCUGCAACGGUCUCUAAACUG